GCGAAGACGAAGCGCUGUUUUCGCGAAGAUCAGUGCCAUUUUCGCGAAGAUCCGACCAGUUUAACGCCGUAUCGACCUGCAUGUUCAGUUUUGCAUCUCUUCACCUUCAAAUUCUGCAGUCGUGUUAAUGGGUUUGUAUCCUAGUUUUUUGGAAAACGGGGCUUUGCAUUAAAAAAAACCUAACAAAUUAUGACUUGUGUCGUUUUGCUUACUUUGUUUUCUCUUUUUUUACUAAUCGUUUUGCUUACUCCUUUUCUCUAUUAUCGUCGUUUUGCCUGCUCUAUGAAAUAGUUUGUUUCUUUUUAGAUUUUAAUAAUUAAUUAAUAAUAAUAAUUGCUUUUUUUCCUAGUCAGAUCGUUUUGUUUACUCAAUUAAAUAGCUUUUUUUUUUUGGUUUUGAAUAAUUAAUAACUGCUGUUGUGAUUUAAAAACUACAAACAUAUAAUAAUUUUAAAUUAUAUUAAAAUCUGAUUUUGAAGGCAGCAACCUGGACUUAGUUUUUUUUUAUUAAUUGCGUUUCAACUUUGGAAUUUUUAAUACUUAAAUUAAAUUAAAGUUUUAGAUGUUGUUAGAUGAUGGUGAUAGAUUUUGUUUUCUUAUUUGAGACAAUGGUAAUAGCUUUUUGUGUUUCAGCUUGUGACUUUUUAUUGAACCAAUGAAAAUUUUUAUGUUAAGGUUAUUUUUUUUAAUUUUAUGGUAUAAUUUUUUCUAUUUUGUGAGAUCUUAAGAUCCGUGUUACAAUCCUACGAUCUACACUUUUUCUAUAUCCCAAAGAUCUUAGGUAGGAUCUAGAGUUUGACAACCUUAGAUGAAGCAACAAAAAACACAGACCUAAGCCCUAAUAGAAAGUUGUCCAGUCUCAAGGCCGUUGUUAACUAAAAAAGAAACUUAGGAUAGGUUUUAAGAGUUUCUAGUAUCCUAUUGUCUAUCCCUACCUUUCCAUGUUUCAACCUUCUAAAAACUAUAAAUCAUUUAUUGUUAAUGGUUAAUCCAGAGGGGUUAAGAUCCUCUCUGCUUUUAAAUCUCUUCAUUUGUUUCAUUACUAUAGUUUUUGGACACAUAACUGAUAAAAAUGCGCACAUUCCCAAAAUAUGCGACAUUAAUUAGACAUUUAUAAACUAAAAUCAUAUUAAUGAAGAUGUUCAUUUCUUUUAAGAAAUGGUGAGGAUCUCAAUGCAGACAUAUGCAGUUAACUAAAUUGAUAAUUACCUAAAGUAGAACAUACAGUUAAUUAUUAUUCUUUGUCAAAGUCUUUGUUAAAGUUAAAGUGAUAUCUAUAUCUAUAUUGCCAAUGGAAUCAAUGUAAUUGUAGACUUGCUCCCAUAAUUAUGUGAACCAGGUAAUCAAUUUUAACCACUGUUAGAAAAUAAAUAAAAUAGACAUUAAUAAUUAAUAAUUAUAACUAAACCUAAAUCCAUUUUAGAUAUGUGAACUAUUUCAAGCUAAUCAUCACCUGCUUACCACCCGGGUAAUUGUUGGUUGAAUAAAUAUAUGAACCCUGUAAAAAAUACAAGUAUGCUGUCAAGAAAUCAAACUACAUACAAAUUGAGGGACAGAAAAAUUAUUAAGGGAUAAGGAAUAGAAGUUGCAACACCAGAAACAAAACUCUCAUAUGCAAAAUAUAACAUUUCAUAAGGAAUGAAACCUAUGAUUAUUCAAAAGGAGAAAGAAAAAAAAAAAACUACAGCAAUUUACACAUAGCAGAGCAAUAAUAAUGUACAAAACACGCUUGAUUAGCAAGUAAUCUUCUGGCACUUUCAUAAAUCAUGUAAUAUCCCAACAACAAGGUAGGCAAAGGACGAAGGGACUCUUACGUCAGUAAAUUAUGUAGCAUCUAUAAGCAAAACACCAAAAAUUACCCAUCUAGGUGACCCAAGGAACCAAAAUUGAAGGGAAUGGUAUAACAGAAAGAAAUAGAGACAAUAAAUAGGGAAUUGGUUAUAUAUGAGUAUUAAUAGGAAUCUGGUUGUAGAGUAACCUUGUAUAUAUAUAUAUAUAUAUAUAUAUAUAUAUGAUGUAUUGUCAACAUAUUUCAAUUCAAUUAAAUAAAUUUUUAACCUAAUUUUUUAGAUGGUAUUAAAGCUCUCGAUCUUUGGGAAUCUCGCUUCCAUAUAAACCCGUCACCUUCAUUGCGGUUUCUUUUUCUUAAAACCUUAGCCACUUUCAUUGUGCCCCUUUUUGAUGCCUUCAUUGCAGCAACUUGAGAUUUCUUUUUGGCCUAUUCACACUGUUACUGCUCACGUCUGUUUGACCGCCUAGUUCACGCCACUGCCCAUAACACAAUACUCGCCUCCAUUAGAUCGGUCAAAUCCCAAAGCACCGCCGUCAACGGCUUAUUCACGCACCCUCACGUGAGCCUUCCAGUCUAGCGUGUGACGCCUACUCGCGACGUCAUCUCUGGCGCAUACAAUAGACCUUUGUUCACCGCCAUUUUCAACUAGAUUGCAGAUAGGUCGUUUCUCAUUCUGUUUUGAGUGUUCACUUUCCAAUCGGAUAACUUUUGUUUUUGGGUCAUUUGAAGCUCACGGUUUUGCUCGGACUUUUUUGUUAGACUUUGAGGUUUGUUUUGUUAGAUAGAUCAAUUUUUCGUCUUUAAUAUCAUUUUUCUGUUGGCUUUACGGAUAUGACAGCUAAAGAAAGUAAAAGUGGAUUGACCCGACUCAAUGAAGAUGAGAUCCUUUCUUAGUAAGUUGGAGAAACCAACAGGUACUAGUUCUCUAGUAUAUACAAGGACACUUCCUCUUGGUAAGUUUCAAUUUUCUUUUGGACUUAAUGCUUCAAAUACACCGUAUAACCAAUAUUGCCCUAACAACAAGAAAAUAUCUACAUCAGAAGGUACCCUUAUAACAAAUCUUAUGUCCUUCAGGACAAGAAUUCGAGGACUAGAAUUAGUGAUGCUAGAGAAUGGAAUGGUCUUUAUUACUUGAAUAAUCAAAAUAUUCCUCCAAAUCUACUCAGCAAUAGCAACUCUUUUUUCUAAAUCAAUAAAGACCAACAGGGUCAAGGUGAUUUUGUACUACAGUUUCGUUGGUCAUCAUUCAUUUAGAGUCAUAAAACAGUUGUUUCCUUUACUCUUCAAGAAAUUAGAGGUAGAAAUUCUUCAAUGUGAGGUGUGUAAGCUUGUUAAACACAAACGUGUACCUUUUUCAGUUAGUAACCAAAUGAGCACUUCUUUAUUUUGUUUAGUUCAUACGGAUGUAUGGGGUCCCUCUAAUGUUCUAAACACAUCAGGUGUCCGUUGGUUUGUAAACUUAAUUGAUGACUGUACUCGGGUAAGUUGGGUUUACUUAUUAAAACAAAAAUUUGUAGUCAGUUCUAUGUUUGUACAGUUCUUCUCCAUGAUAAAAAACCAAUUUGGAGUGAAUAUUAAGAGGAUUAGGUCCGAUAACGCCAAAGAUAUAGAAGAACAUAUUGCUGCUAACACGUUUUGUAAGCUAAAGAAGGCCCUAUAUGGGCUUAAGCAAUCGCCGCGAGUGUGGUUUGGGAGGUUUGCUAGUGUCAUGAUUGGGAUUGCCUUCAAACAAAGCCAAUGAGAUCAUACCCUCUUUAUCAAACACUCUGAGUCAGGAGGAGUAACAGUGUUAUUGGUAUACGUUGAUGACAUUAUAGUAACCGAUGAUGUUGAAAAGGAACAACAAAUGUUAGGACCACACCUAGCCAAGGAAUUUGAGAUUAAAACCUCGGAAAAAGAGAAGUAUUUCUUGGGAAUUGAAGUAGCUCACUCUAAGAAAGGGUUUUCAUAUCCAAACAAAAAUACAUCACAGAUCUUCUACAAGAAACGAGCAAGAUAGCAUACAAGCUAGCGAAUAUACCAAUUAAUCCAAAUUUAAAGUUGGGAAAAGUAGAAGAUAUUGUAGUUGACAAAGAAAUGGAUCAAAGAUUAGUUGAAAGACUCAUAUAUUUGUUCCAUACUAGACCUAAUGUUGCCUUCGCUGUAAGCCUCGUCAGUAAAGUAUCUAAAUUCAGUGCUGAAACAGAAUUUAGGGGCACAAGAGAUAUGCGAGUUACUAUGGUUGAAGAACAUUUUGGAGUACCUGAAAAUAAAGUGGGAUGAACCAAUGCAACUCUAUUGUGAUAAUAAAUAUGUUAUUAGCAUAGCACAUAAUCUAGUGCAGUAUGACAAAACUAAGCAUAUUGAAGUUGAUAGGCAUUUCAUCAAAGAACCAAGCAUAUGUCUCCUCCCAAGUCAACCUUGCAGAUCUUCUAACUAAAGGGCUAAAUAGCAGCAACUUUGAAAGAAUUAUAUCCAAGUUGGUAAUAGAGAACAACUAUUUACUAGCUUGAAGGAGAGUGUCAAAAUCUGUUUUUGUUUGAUUAGUAAAAUUAUCCCUCAAGUAUAGGAAUUUGGUUGUAUAGGAGUACUAAUAAGGAUUUAGUUAUAUAGGAGUACUAAUAAGAUUUGGUUGCAUAAUAACCUCUUAUAUAUAUAUAUAUGAUGUAUUGUCAACAUGUUUCAAUUCUAUGAAAUAUAUUUUUAUCCUAAUCCUUGAGAUAAUGGUAUUCCUGAUCCUAUCUUGUCUUGUGUGACCACUUACAUAUACUUCUUACCAUAUUCAAAUCUGCACCCUUGAGUUUACUUUCUUGUAGGCUCUUUACAACCCAACAUUUAGUCCCACACAACAAUACAAAUCCUACAUUUGUGCAAUAAAAAAUUUCCUUAAAGCUGGAGCAGUAUUUUUGUGUUCUGGAUCAUAGUCGUACACCUACGUUUCAUCCUCCUGAUUUAGAUUCGAUGGUUGACAGUUCACUCUAUCUCUAUGUAAUUUUGUAUGACCGACCCAAGCAUCUUGAAAUGUGAUAUUUGUGGCACUGUAUAUUCUCCAUUUUUCGCUGAUAUAUUGUGAUUUGUGCAUCUCUCGCUAAAUUUGCAUUUCAAAUACUUUUUUUUACUCCUACUUAGGUGGAAGCCGUGUAUUUUUUUUAAACCUUGUCUCCAUAGUCCAUAUUAAAAAAAAUUCUUCCUUCCCUCAACUCCAACUAAAACUAUAUCUACCACAAUAGGCAGGAAAUGCGGAACUAUCUCUGCCAUAUGUGCAAUAAGCGCAUCUAGACCUAGACCGAAAACAAAAAGGUAAAGACCCAAAGACGGUCGUCAGUGCACACCUAUAGCUAAAGGAAAAUCUUUUGUAUUUCCACCUUUUGCUAUCACACUAGCUGGGGCCUCUCCAUACAUAUCUAAUUGAGUCUAUGUAAGAAAUUUGACCUCCUAUAGUUUAUAAACCUUCUGCAACAGCCCUCUUUGUAGUUCAUAUAUCUUCUCCAAUAUUUUUCCAUCAAUACUUAGUAAGUAUAUUGGUUUAAUAUUUGACAAACAGAAUUGAUUUUUUUUGAUGUGGGUCUCAUCAUAAUCUCCAUUCAAUUACUCUCUCCAAAUUUAAAAUGACUUGUGGGUUGGAUUAUCCUAAAAUAAAUUGUAUAGUUUUGUAUGUCAUCUUUGUUCUUAAAAUUAGUUAUUAAUAAUGUCCACAGCCUUAUCAUUAUCCUAACUCAUCCUUACAAAACUGACUUGUAAGGUAAGGAGUGUCUCUCUUUGUAAACUCAUUUGAGACCUUAUCUUUAUUUAUGUGAGACUUAAGUUUUUCCAAAUACACCCUCUUACGCUCAGUACUAUUGAGUUUGGCGCGUGGAUAUAAAUGGAGGGGUGUCUGUAUCUUUAACUCUUUUGACACCUUAUCUUUAUUCCAUGUGGGACUUGGGUUUUUCUAUACAGUCAUUGGAGUAUAGUUAUCAAUCCUAAAUAAGCUCAACCAUUGAAAGGAAAUUCCCUUUUGGAUAUUGUGUAUUUAUCAGAGGAUACUUAAUAUCUUCGUAGAGCAAUAAACAGAGUGUAGUUUAAAAGGUCAAAUGCAAGAGCCAAAUACACGGCCAUGGCAUUAGUGACUAGUGAACUUAUUUAGUUAAUAAGAUACUCAGAUGUAGAUGACACUUAUGUGUAAGAAUUAAUCGGCAUUUCAUAAUGCUUCUAAUCAUAUUAUUCAUGAUAGGACCAAACAUUGAGAUAGAUUGUCACUUCACAACGAGCUUUGCCAACACCAAUGAUCAACUACAAGAUGCCUUCAUCAAAUCCCUAAUCGGUCCUCGAGUUAGUUAUCUUUGUAACAAGGUUGGCGCAUAUGAUUUAUAUGCUCUAGUUGCAUGAGUGUUGAAAAUAGAUUAGAAUCUUUGAAUUUAUUGACAUUGUGUACGCAUAAUGUCUCAUGUAAAUAGGAUAGUAUCUCCUAUAUUUACUUUGUAUUUAUCACCUGGAGUUUAUAUAAAACUAACUCCAUUAUGUAGUUGAGACACAUAGUUUCAUCAUCUCAUAUUGGUGUUCUCUCUAGUUCAAAAGUACUAACUGUGGGACCCAAUGUCACUAAGCCAUAUAUACUUAAAAGUACUCAUAAAUUCUAUGAAAGAAAUAAUAGAACUAAAGGAAUAAAUUAUGAGUUAUUCAAUUGUGAUUGUUUAGCAUUUACAAGAAAUACUGGCUAAGCCAUUUAUAAUGAAACCAAAAAAACAUAUUGGAAACAUAAUCCAAAUGAGGAUGUAUUCAUAAGAAUCAAUGUUCUAUACAUCCUUCCAUUUCUUUCAAAUCAAAGAUGGGGAGGAUUAUGAAGACCAAUUGACUUCCCUAAUAAUGGUAUGAACAAUGAACAAAUGUGUAUAUAAGAUGGGUGGUUUGACUAUUUUGAUUUACAUCCAAAUAGAGAAAAUGUAAGGUCCAAGACUAUGUUUUAUCACAAAAAAAAAAGUUUGAGACUAUGGAAAAACUAGAACAGGUAACUUGAGGUCAAGCUAUAAGGGCUGUAGAAAAUAGGAAAGCUUUCCUUCAACACUUUCUCGAAUUGGGGAUUAGUCCUUGGUUAAAAUUGUUGAGGUUGAUGGAUAAUGAAUUAUAAGGGAAACCUAAUAAAAAUGCUAAUAAGGUUUUAAUACAACAAAAUUUUCAAAAUGUGACAAAUAAGUAUGACAAAUAUUUAGAAUAUCCAAGAUCUAGAACAUUAAUAUCAUACAUUGAUUAUCCAGAUUAGUAACUUACUUGGCCACUUGGCGUAAUGAUCUUAAGGCAGGUGCAUAUAGGUCAUUACAUAUGCAAAUCACCUACAUUCAGAACAAAUAUCAUCAUUGCAAAUGGUGUCACCAAUUUUAUUAUUGCAAAUGAACAGUCUUGUGAAUGAUGUAUGACACAAUACGAAAAUCUGAUACUCACAGGUCUUGACAGUGACGCAGUUUUCCGCCCUUUCUUUGAUGACUUCCUUUCCAUUUGUCCUUUAUCCAAACUUUGCUUCCCUGCAUCAGGCUUCCUCUCAGCAGAAAUCUGCAACAUUUAGAUUGAAUUGAGCUUUAUGAAUUCCCAAUGGCAAAUUUCUUAACAUGUAGGCAAUGCCAAUACUUUCCAGUUUCCACAAGAAACAAGGCCUUAAUCCCAAUUUUCCAGUUAGUGGUAGGUAUAACAGCAUAAUAUCCUUCGGGUAGAAAACUAUAUGGUUCUUUUUUAGAAUUAAUGGCACGUGACCCAAUAGAAAAGCCAUAUCAUUGCUCUCACAACCUAGGAAAAUAAUUGCAUGAUAAAAAGUAUUUAAAUAUUUCAUAUAUUGUGUUGUUUAGAGCCCAAAUAUCUGACUUCAGCCUCUUAAAGUACAUUAACUCUCUUUUAAACGGAGAAUUUAAGUGAAGAAAACCUGAAUGUCAAAAGGCAAAAUAGAACCAGAGAACUACAUACAAUUCAAAUCAAUUCUAUUUUAAUAUGUCUGGUUAUGAUUUUGCAUUUUAUUUGUAUUGAUGAAUAAACUAAAAUAAAAGCAAAAUACUAACUUUUUUAAAGAAAAUAAGACCUUAGACAAUGUUAAAAGAACCUUCAACUAACUAUGAUUAAGGUCUUCUUAGAUAAUUCAGUUUGAAAGAGAGAUCAAAUAUAGCAUCUAUCACUGACCAUCUUUAAAAGAACUUCCACAGCACCUUUUCCAUCACUAAGGGCUCCAUCAAUUUCAUCCACCACCUGAGAAGAAAAGAAGACAACCAUUUUCACCCAAUGAUAGUAAGAUACAAAGUGAAAAUACUGAGAAAAGAAAAUACCAGACACUUUGGCUUUGAAUCAGACAAGACAGAGUUCAUCUGAACCACAUCAAGGAUUUUUGCUUCAAUCGUUGAUGUAGAACGAUCAUCACUAGCAUUAACCUGCAAAACAUUAAACUCAGUUCAAUAUAUAUUGAAAAAAGGGAUUUACUUACAGGAGGAGAGAAAGAGAGAAUAAGAUAAUGACCAAUCUAAAAUUGAUAUUUGUUUAAUGCGAAAUAAAUAUGAAAUACUUUAUCGUACAAUUGUAAGACCGGCGAUGUUGUAUGGGAUAAAUAAGCGUAGCAAAUAUGGAAAUGUUGUGUUGGAUGUGUGGGAAGAUUAGACGAGAUAGAAUAAAGAAUGGAAGCAUUAGAGAGAGAGAGUUGGGAUAGCACAUAUUGUAGAAAAGGUGGUGCAAACUAAGAUUAGGUGAUUUGGACAUGCAGAGAGGAGACCUCUGGAUAUUGUAAUAAGCAACAUAGUCACUCAAAUCGCUAGAGGCAAAGGAAGAACUAGAAAAACUAUAAGAGAAACUAUUAAGAAAUACCUAGAAUUUAAUGAGCUGGAUAGAGAUAUAAUAUAUGAUAGAACAUUAUGACGUCGUUUGGUCCACGUAGUCAACCCUACUUAGUGGGAUAAGCUUGGUUGUUGUUGUUGAUGUAUGCUUUUCUGACAGCAACUUAUCUCAUAAAAAGGUUACCAAUGCUGCAAUUACAGUCUUCAUACUCCAAAUUGUUCAAUCGAAUUCCUAACUACAAGUUCCUUACAUUGUUUGGUUGUGCAUGCUUCCCAUUUCUCAGGCCCGACGGUCCUCAUAAAUUCUCCUUUUACUCUAAAGGAUGUAUUUUUUGGCAUAGUCCAAUUCACACAAAAAGUUAUACUCGGGAAUUCCCAGCAACUGAUGGUCGUAAAUAUCAUCUUAAAGGAUGUGUUAUUCAACAAGUCUCAUUUCCCAUAUGUUGAACUCUUCCCUCAUUUCAACAGCCCAUUUCUACCUCCUUGAGUCCAUCCAUCUCUUUUAUUUCUCCACUGUUGACAAGCAUCCACAUUUUCCUCCCCUGCAAAGACACCUUUAGCAAUAUCUUCUACCACUAUUUCUCACUUAAGCUUAAAUACUCUUCAAUAUUCAAUUGCUAAUGGGUCAGCAUCUAGGUAGUUAAUCCCAGAUAGCGAUGCAUCGCGGUCAAUCCCAAAAGUGGGAUAGCUCGUUUCGGGAUAGGCGGGAUAACUGCUAUUUUUUGGAUAAAUUACAUGAAUAAUAGUAUAUAAACCUAUAUUUAAUGCAAAAUUAACAAAUGACUCAAACUCUAAAAUAUUCAUAAUUAGUAAUAAAAAUCCACAAGACUUACUCUUAGUCAAAAUAUACAUUGAAAUACAAACAAAAGUCAAGGAGAUAAAGAUGAUGCAUAUUAAAGUCUUUAACACAAAUUAAUUAAAUAACUAUAUAUUAAAACUCAAAUGCAUGUUCUAGCAUAGGAAUCAAAGAUAAGAAUCAUCUUAAUUAACAUAUUUUACUUUACUUCUUACGUGAAAGUAAAAACGACAAAACAGAGAAAAAAGAAAUAAUAGCGGGAUCUCGAUGGGAAACGUUGAGAUUAACUACGUCGGGAUAGUGAAAUCUCGCUCGAAUCUCGUCGGGAUCUUGUUUCACGCUAUCGCAGACCACGCUGUUGCAGUCAUACACUGCACCACACCGGGACAGCGGGAUCUCGCCAGAAAUACUGGGAUUAACUACCUAGGUCAGCAUCACCAUCUUCUAGUGUUUGGUCUCCAGCCUCUGAUUCUUUACAGCAAAUAUUGCAUCGAAGGCCCAUAAUUUACCCCAAUAAUAACAUCUAUCCAAUGCAAACGCCAGUCUGGAAUUGUCAACCCCAGGCGUGUUCCCACCUUGUUACUCACGUGCAGUACAACAUCAACCAAACAGGCCUCAACAGACCUGAAUGGCAAACAGCCAUGAAGAGUAUUUCAAUGCUCUGAUUUGCAGUCAAACCUUGACUUUAGUACCUUUAAACUCUAAAAAGCAAGAUAUAUGUUGCAAAUGAACAUUUAGAAACAAGAACCCAGAUGUUGAAAAGGAUAAAAUAGAGGCAGAUAAAAUAGAGGCAAGAGAUGUUGAAACUGUGUCUUGAACUAACAGUAGAGUCUAUUCCGUAGCCUUAAUGUAAUUAAUGUAAUAAAUACAAAUAAAUGUAGCAGAUUCUAUUAUUAAAGAAGGAAACAAAUCAUAAAAUACAACAUACAAAUAAAACCUAACGAGUCAUCUAGGAUACUAGUCUAAGAUAUAAAAAACAUAUAAUAAGAUAUUUCACGUAUUUUCUAACAGAAUUUGAGACAAACGGUUUCUGGUAAAUUAAUUUUCAUUAACUAAUUGUAAUAUACAAACAGAUAUUUAUAUUUACGGAGUGAAGAUUUUAGAAUUGCAAAAGUAAUGGCAUUAUUGGUGGUGUCGCCGAAAGACGAGUAGGACCAUGUGAAGCAGAUCUGACUAUAGGGUUUUGUUAGACUACAGAUAAGCACUAUCUAAGAUGGUGAGCAUGGAGGUGAUGCGUGGCAGAGACAGCAGUGCAUGUGGCAAAUAUGAUGGUACUGAUUGACCAAACAAUGGUUCUUCCUAUGAACGAAAGUACAAACUUCAGUGUGUUCUCAGCUGACCGAAACUUGAAACUUGAAUGAAAGCCAAACUUCAAAAUAGCAACUCAAAACUCAGAAGAAAGAGCUAUCACCAAGCUCAUACUUUCGAGAUAUUGGCAAGAGAAUAAUCUAAACAGGCCAAGGAAGAUGUUACAACUCAGACACCAUGUCUAAAGAGAGAAAAUAGAGACAAGAGAUGUUGAAAACAUGUGUCUUAACUACAUAACUGGUUCUGUUUCAUAUGCAUUAAGUACAAAAAAAUAUCGGAAAUCUUGUUCUUAUUUACAUGUUAUG
rnacentral:lncRNA from 1 species